GGUGCAGUGAUAGGCACGGGACUGUCUGACUGGAGCACAGGGCACAGGAGCCAAGGUUUCCUAAUAUAAGCAUCCGGAUUUAGUUUCAGUGGCUACUACUCUACAAACUGUUCUCUCCUUUCUUCUCUCUACAGCCAAGACACGAGACACAAUGAAUGUUUACCAAUCAGAGCGGGAGAUCAUUCUCAGGGCUGUCUUAC